GAUUUCAGCUGAAAAAGUCAUCAACAACAAAGUUGUAUGACUCAUCAAGAUCUAUAACUUCUAUUUUGAUAAUUUCUUCAUCCGAUAAAGUGAUCAUAGAGAUGUGUACAUUUUGUGAACAAUGUUACAAAUCACUUUAUCGGAUGAAGAAAUGACCAAAAUAGAAGUUAUAGAUCUUGAUGAGUUAUACAAUUUUAUUGUUGAUGACUUUUUCAGUUGAUAUC
rnacentral:pre_miRNA from 1 species